rnacentral:rRNA from 1 species
AGAGUUUGAUCAUGGCUCAGAAUCAACGCUGGCGGCGUGCCUAACACAUGCAAGUCGAACGCGAAAGGGGCUUCGGCCCUGAGUAGAGUGGCAAACGGGUGAGUAACACGUGGGUGACCUGCCUUCGAGCGGGGGAUAACGUUCCGAAAGGAGCGCUAAUACCGCAUAACAUCCUGCCUUUGGAAAGGCGGAGAUCAAAGCCGGGGAUCGCAAGACCUGGCACUUGAAGAGGGGCCCGCGCCUGAUUAGCUAGUUGGUGGGGUAAUGGCUCACCAAGGCCACGAUCAGUAUCCGGCCUGAGAGGGCGGACGGACACACUGGGACUGAGACACGGCCCAGACUCCUACGGGAGGCAGCAGUGGGGAAUUGUUCGCAAUGGGCGCAAGCCUGACGACGCAACGCCGCGUGGAGGACGAAGAUCUUCGGGUCGUAAACUCCUGUCGAGCGGGACGAAUGUUCCGCGAGCUAAUAUCUCGUGGAAGUGACGGUACCGCUAAAGGAAGCCCCGGCUAACUCCGUGCCAGCAGCCGCGGUAAUACGGGGGGGGCAAGCGUUGUUCGGAAUUACUGGGCGUAAAGGGCUCGUAGGCGGCCAACUAAGUCGGAUGUGAAAUCCCCAGGCUCAACUUGGGAACUGCAUCCGAUACUGGAUGGCUUGAAUUCGGGAGAGGGAUGCAGAAUUCCAGGUGUAGCGGUGAAAU